ensembl:lincRNA 9530059O14Rik RIKEN cDNA 9530059O14 gene
CGCCCGCUCGCUCGAGCUCGGCGCGGACCCGCCCGGGAGCGCUCCUCGCAGCAGCUGCCCGGGUUCCCACCGCCCUACCGGGCGCGAGCGAUCAGACUACCUCGGAGGGCGCGCUCAGACACCCAGAUGUUCGGCCACCUCAGUGGGUACCCUCGGCACCCUGUGAUCCGACCACCCGCGGAGGCGCGCUAGCCCUCUGGGUGGGCGUGCUGGGCUUCUCUGCGGCGGAAGUCUGGACCACAGAUUGUGACUUCUUUUCUAGCAGUAGGUGUUGACUGGUCCGACUGCUGCCCUUCUGCCCAAGAGUAGUUCAAACUGGCCUCUAACUGAACCUGGAACUCACUGACUGAACUCGAGUUGCUGUUGAGAAAGCCCCAGGGACUGUUUGGUCUUCUCCCGCUCAAAAUUUGCGAUGCAGUGCCUCCUCAGGCCCAUCAAAGUCUUCCAGGAUCACGCAGAGGACCAUGCCACAGUCGGAAGUGAGGUAAACAAGUCUCCUUAUUGCUAUAUUUUAUAAUUAUCAGACAAGAGAGUGGAGUUCCCACCUGAAGCCCCUCAGGCCUGUGUGAAGCUUAACCAUGUAUGUACUCAAUGUAGGUGUGAUCAGUUUUCAGAUCCAUGCAAAUGUGAGCUGACUUUCCCCUGAUGUUUGCUGAGUGCAUGCCAACAGCAUUCUGCAUGGCUAACCUGCCUCAGCAACCAGAUCCCUGGAACUGUCAUAUGCAGAGGCUCUGUGGUGUGGCCAUUUUAUAAAUGAGCCACGGGAAGGCCAGAGAAAGAAACAGCAUGCUCCAAGUCAGAGCAGAAGGCAGCUUCCCUAGGAUCUGUUUAAUGUUUGCUUCUUUACAACACAGGAUCUCGUGAAACCCAAGCUAGCCUCAGACUCAACUGCAUAGCUGAGGAUACCCUUGAACUUGAUUCUCUAAUAUUUCUACCUCAUACCCAGUUCAUGAGGUAAUGCGGAUAGAACCCAGGGCUUCCUGAAUACUAGGAAGGCACUCUACCAACUGAGCUACAUCCCCAGAUCCUCCUCUGGGGAUAAGCCCAGGUUCAAAUCCAAGGCCUUAACAACAUCGGGACACGGACAUAAGACACAGCACUCUACUGGACCUGGGCAUGCUCCUACCCUGUCUAGUGAUCGCAAAAGCCAUCUUUUUAACAGCCCACGUUAUGAUUCUACCAUCAGACCAGAGAGGCCCUAGAUAGCCCAGCUUCCCAUUGUAAGUCAUCUUCGACAUGCUUAACCGAUGGCUGUGUGGGACUGCUAGAAAGUUUGGAAAUCACCAAGCGCUUUGACUUUCCUGCCCACAAAAACAGUUGGCCUUGGCAGAUGUCCAACGCGUUGACCUUAGAUCCAUUUAAUGAAAACCCUAUUAAUUCAAAAAGAAAGAAAGAAAAUAAGGCAAAAUAGGACAGGCAGUAGAAAGAUCUUUACAAAAAUCUUGUGUGCCCUUCCUCCACUGUUGCCUUGACCAGACAGGGCCACAAAGCUGAUACGACAGGAUUAGGACAAUUGCUUUGUUAACACACAAGCACAGCGUGACAUGAACUCCAGGAAAGGCAUUUGGCAGGAUUAACCUGCUGAGGAUAAAGAUGUAGCAGACGGGACCUGAAUUAAUGGACUGGUAUGGCCAAAGUGGAGAAAUCUAUUUGCAUGUAAUAUUAACUGUACUAAUAAACUCCAGGCGGGGAUCCAACAGCCCGGGAGCCUCUUUGAACCAGGACUUGAUCCCUGCACAUCCUAUCUCUGCUAAGAUGUGUGAGUGUAAGCCGGCUGCCUGCAGAUUACCACUCUGUCCUUGGUGCCUGCAAUAGCACAGGCCCUUUACUGACUGCAACUCAAGCAGAUCCCACUUACAAUAUUAUUUACAACCUAUGGAAAAGCAAUGAAGAAAUGCAGGUUCAACACAUGUAGAAAAUAUCCACCAGGGCCUGGAAAGAUGGCUCAGUAAUUAAGAGCCCUGGCUAUUCCUCCAGAGGACCCGGGUUCAAUUUGUAGCAUCCAUGGGGCAGCUAAGAGUCAUCUAAAGCCCAUCUGAAGCCCUCUUCUGACAUCUGCAGGCAUGGUGCAUACAUGGUACAUACACACACAUGC